UGGGGAAUAUUGGACAAUGGGCGCAAGCCUGAUCCAGCCAUGCCGCGUGAGUGAUGAAGGCCUUAGGGUUGUAAUGCUCUUUUGGCGGGGACGAUAAUGACGGUACCCGCAGAAUAAGCCCCGGCUAACUUCGUGCCAGCAGCCGCGGUAAUACGAAGGGGGCUAGCGUUGUUCGGAAUUACUGGGCGUAAAGCGCACGUAGGCGGAUCGGCAAGUCAGGGGUGAAAUCCCGGGGCUCAACCUCGGAACUGCCUCUGAUACUGCCAGUCUAGAGUCCGGAAGAGGUGGGUGGAAUUCCUAGUGUAGAGGUGAAAUUCGCAGAUAUUAGGAAGAACACCGGUGGCGAAGGCGGCCCACUGGUCCGGUACUGACGCUGAGGCGCGAAAGCCAGGGGAGCAAACGGGAUUAGAUACCCCCGUAGUCCCUGAGCGGGCUGGCAAGGCGCAU
rnacentral:rRNA from 1 species